rnacentral:rRNA from 1 species
AUUGAACGCUGGCGGCAUGCUUUACACAUGCAAGUCGAACGGCAGCACGGGUGCUUGCACCUGGUGGCGAGUGGCGAACGGGUGAGUAAUACAUCGGAACGUACCUUAUCGUGGGGGAUAACGCAGCGAAAGCUGUGCUAAUACCGCAUACGCCCUGAGGGGGAAAGCGGGGGAUCGCAAAACCUCGCGCGAUUAGAGCGGCCGAUGCCUGAUUAGCUUGUUGGUGGGGUAAAAGCCCACCAAGGCGACGGUCAGUAGCUGGUCUGAGAGGACGAUCAGCCACACUGGGACUGAGACACGGACCAGACUCCUACGGGAGGCAGCAGUGGGGAAUUUUGGACAAUGGGGGCAACCCUGAUCCAGCAAUGCCGCGUGAGUGAAGAAGGCCUUCGGGUUGUAAAGCUCUUUUGUCAGGGAAGAAACACCGGCUCUAACACAGUCCGGGAAUGACGGUACCUGAAGAAUAAGCACCGGCUAACUACGUGCCAGCCGCCGCCGUAA